UUUAAUAUGGCAGAUAAAUUAGUGCAUUGGAUUUAAACCCCAAAUAAAAAGAUAUAUUUUCUUUUAUUAAAA
rnacentral:tRNA from 1 species